GAUGAAGAACGGAGCGAAAUGCGAUAAGUAAUGUGAAUUGCAGAAUUCAGUGAAUCAUCGAAUCUUUGAACGCACAUUGCGCCCGCCAGUAUUCUGGCGGGCAUGCCUGUCCGAGCGUCAUUUCAACCCUCAAGCCCCCGGGCUUGGUGUUGGAGAUCGGCGAGCCCCCCGGGGCGCGCCGUCUCCCAAAUAUAGUGGCGGUCCCGCUGUAGCUUCCUCUGCGUAGUAGCACACCUCGCACUGGGAAACAGCGUGGCCACGCCGUAAAACCCCCCACUUCUGAAAGGUUGACCUCGGAUCAGGCAGGAAUACCCGCUGAACUUAAGCAUAUCAAUAAGCGGAGGA
rnacentral:misc_RNA from 1 species